AAGGCUUGCGGUGGAUACCUAGGUACCCAGAGACGAGGAAGGGCGUAGCAAGCGACGAAAUGCUUCGGGGAGUUGAAAAUAAGCAUAGAUCCGGAGAUUCCCAAAUAGGUCAACCUUUUGAACUGCCUGCUGAAUCCAUGAGCAGGCAAGAGACA
rnacentral:rRNA from 2 species